AUGCUGGACUACUAUGCAUAUUACCUACUACAAAGACCUGGCCAAGGAAUCUCGCUGCUAACGUCUAGACAUCUAUCGCUGCAAUUUUGGGUAGAUGUUUACACAUGCAUUGAGCAAAACAGACUAAACUGGAUCAAGAAUAAUCAAGGGAAGCUACGUACUGAACUUUAUAGUGGACUACAGGACGCGAUUGAGCGAGGGGACACCAGAACAGAGCAGAUGAAGAAGGAGGAGGCCUAA
rnacentral:rRNA from 1 species